UUAUGGGACAGAAACGGGCGUCACUUUGCGGAAGUCCUACACCAAUGGCGCCAAUGGUAAUCGUAAUUACUGAUGUUGGUUCAUAUUACGUGAAACACUACGUAGGCUCUCAUUGGAUCUGUUCAGGCACCAUUGAAUCGAUUUAAUUAUUUAUUAUUUAACUAAGUUAGUAAAAUUCUCAUUAAUUCCACGCCAAUGAUGCAUCCGAUAAGGGGGAGCUAAAAACUGAUGUAAAUAUUAUGAUAAAUUACUUUUUCAUAAGUAAAAUGUAAACAUUGAUUUAGUGUAAACAGUAUUAGUGACUACAUCGAUUUUAUUAUUAAUGUAUAUAUUACAUUGUAAAGCAUUUUUGUACUGUUGUACAUUUACGUUACAUACACAUGGCUUAUUUUAUAUUCUACUCAUUUUGUAAAUGACUACGGAACCCUAAACAAAACUAAUAAAUAUGAAUAAUAGCAUCUA